GAUGAACGCUGGCGGCGUGCCCAAUACAUGCAAGUCGAGCGAAUGGAUUAAGAGCUUGCUCUUAUGAAGUUAGCGGCGGACGGGUGAGUAACACGUGGGUAACCUGCCCAUAAGACUGGGAUAACUCCGGGAAACCGGGGCUAAUACCGGAUAAUAUUUUGAACUGCAUGGUUCAAAAUUGAAAGGCGGCUUCGGCUGUCACUUAUGGAUGGACCCGCGUCGCAUUAGCUAGUUGGUGAGGUAACGGCUCACCAAGGCAACGAUGCGUAGACGACCUGAGAGGGUGAUCGGCCACACUGGGACUGAGACACGGUCCAGACUCCUACGGGAGGCAGCAGUAGGGAAUCUUCCGCAAUGGACGAAAGUCUGACGGAGCAACGCCGCGUGAGUGAUGAAGGCUUUCGGGUCGUAAAACUCUGUUGUUAGGGAAGAACAAGUGCUAGUUGAAUAAGCUGGCACCUUGACGGUACCUAACCAGAAAGCCACGGCUAACUACGUGCCAGCCGCCGCUGUAA
rnacentral:rRNA from 1 species